UAGCACAUUCAUUCAGUCUCUGUCAUGGACAUGACAUUACAUAGCACAUCAUUCAGUCUCUUGUCCAUGACAGAGACUGAAUGAAUGUGCUAUGUAAUGCCA
rnacentral:pre_miRNA from 1 species